UAGGGAAUCUUCCGCAAUGGGCGAAAGCCUGACGGAGCAACGCCGCGUGAGUGAUGAAGGUCUUCGGAUCGUAAAACUCUGUUAUUAGGGAAGAACAAAUGUGUAAGUAACUAUGCACGUCUUGACGGUACCUAAUCAGAAAGCCACGGCUAACUACGUGCCAGCAGCCGCGGUAAUACGUAGGUGGCAAGCGUUAUCCGGAAUUAUUGGGCGUAAAGCGCGCGUAGGCGGUUUUUUAAGUCUGAUGUGGAAGCCCACGGCUCAACCGUGUAGGGUCAUUGGAACCUGGCAAACUUGAGUGCAGAAGAAGAAAUUGGAAUUACAUGUGUAGCGGUAAAAUGCGCAGAGAUAUGGAGGAACACCAGUGGCGAAGGCGACUUUCUGGUCUGUAACAAACGCUGAUGUGCGAAAGCGUUGUGAUGAAACAGG
rnacentral:rRNA from 1 species